AGAAUUUGUAAGUGAUGAACUUGGGUAUUUAGGUGAGGAGAUUUCUAAGCAAAGGGUUGAAUGUAUUCCCUAGU